rnacentral:rRNA from 1 species
CCAGACUCCUACGGGAGGCAGCAGUGAGGAAUAUUGGUCAAUGGGCGGGAUCCUGAACCAGCCAAGCCGCGUGAGGGAAGACGGCCCUAUGGGUUGUAAACCUCUUUUGUCGGAGAACAAAACCCGGGACGAGUCCCGGACUGCGUGUAUCCGAAGAAAAAGCAUCGGCUAACUCCGUGCCAGCAGCCGCGGUAAUACGGAGGAUGCGAGCGUUAUCCGGAUUUAUUGGGUUUAAAGGGUGCGUAGGCGGGCCGUUAAGUCAGCGGUAAAAUUGCGGGGCUCAACCCCGUACUGCCGUUGAAACUGCAUCCCUUGAGUGCGCGAGAAGUAUGCGGAAUGCGUGGUGUAGCGGGGAAAUGCAUAGAUAUCACGCAGAACUCCGAUUGCGAAGGCAGCAUACCGGCGCCCAACUGACGCUGAGGCACGAAAGCGUGGGUAUCGAACAGGAUUAGAUACCCCCGUACC